UAAGUAUUCUUGCGACCGCCACUAUUUCAUUGGAGAUCUGGUGAUCUGGUCUUUAAUCUGGCUCAAAUUCGCAUUGGCUUCAUCGAAAUUGCGCAGCUGCAACCGCAUAGUUGCUGUAAGGUGGCCAGAGUCACCAUGCAAGUGAGGAAUUCGACUUCGCCAGGACAUACUAUCAGGAUUCGGUAAGUUUCGCACUUGAAAGCUUCCACGAGGCUAAAGAGACGAAAAUUCGGCGGCUAUGAAGUUGUAGUGCCCUACAAGUCCAUUAUCGCCGAAUAUCUGAGCUAUUAUGACUGCCUGAUAUCCAGCUCACAGACAACAAUAACAUUGCAGCCAGGACCUAUUUGGGAAGCUGAAGCUUACCAAAAAGUCCUUCUCUAUCUUCGAUGUGAUCCUGGGUAGCUCGGGAAGUACGCCCAGAUGGCUUCAUCUAAGAACAAGACAGAAAAGCGCGACAUCAGGAAAAUGCCUUGAACUCAAGGAUUCUCCAGCGCAGUCCUGAGCAGUUGCAUCGAUCUGGCCUUGAUCAU